rnacentral:tRNA from 2 species
GCCCCGGUCAUUCAGAGGCCUAGGAUGUUUCUCUUACACGGAAAUCACGCGAGUUCGAAUCUCGCCUGGGGCAC